rnacentral:rRNA from 1 species
UACGUAGGGUGCGAGCGUUGUCCGGAAUUAUUGGGCGUAAAGAGCUUGUAGGUGGUUUGUCGCGUCUGCUGUGAAAAUCCGAGGCUCAACCUCGGACUUGCAGUGGGUACGGGCAGACUAGAGUGUGGUAGGGGAGACUGGAAUUCCUGGUGUAGCGGUGGAAUGCGCAGAUAUCAGGAGGAACACCGAUGGCGAAGGCAGGUCUCUGGGCCAUUACUGAC